GCCCCCAAAUCCCUAAUUUUUAUUUCUUCUUCCUCUCAAAAAAGAGGAGAGGACUGCUCUCUCAUCUCAAAAAAAUAGAGACAAACCACCGCCCCUUCCUCUCUUCAUCGGCGCCGCCCACCUUCAUCUCUCCUCUCCACUUCAAGGACCUCACCACCACUUCCUCCCCUGCGCUCCGCUCCUCCCUCUCACAAAAGGACCGCCGCCCCUCACUCUUCACCUUCUCCAUCAGAAAACCACCACCUCCGUCCCUCACUCUCUCUCUCCCUUUCCUCACCGGUGAGUCUCUCUCCUCCGGCGAAGGACCCCAUAGACCUCACCUUCUUUUCUUCUCUCCCUCAUCUCCAUUCUCUCCCGUCUCUCCCUUUUGCGUUAAAGUCUCACCGUGGAGACUACCUCCAUCCAUAUUUCUUCUCCUCUCAUCCCCUACCGGAAAAGCCCAUGCAACCACUGCCCUCCUCCGUCGAAGGACAGGGUACUACCGCUCCAUCAGCGAGCCAUAACGAGGCCAGCGACUCCAUCCAGCAACAAAGAAGAGACGGCGCCAAAGACGGAUCUGUAGAGAUCCGUCCGGGUUUUGAAUUAAAGUUCAAGACAAUGAAGAGUUCGCUUUGGUUGAGAUUAUAUCAGAAGAAGUUGUUUAUUUAGAUCUUUCUCUUUAUGUGUAUUUCUUUCUUUGAAACAUUACAUUAUUCGGUCUUGUAAUAAUGUUGUAAACGCUCUCUAAAUAAUGAAAUAAUUGGGGACUAGCUAAUGGGAGGUGUGCUACAUGUGUUUAUUUUUUUUUAUCUUUUUUCAUGUGUAUUUACUGUAUUACAUGUUUAAAUAUGCACAUGUUGUCAUCUUUUCUCUUUUGCUAAUUGAUGUGAAAACUACAUGACCGUUAUAUAUAUUUUGUGUUAUUGGUA